rnacentral:rRNA from 1 species
CCUACGGGAGGCAGCAGUAAGGAAUAUUGGUCAAUGGAGGCAACUCUGAACCAGCCAUGCCGCGUGCAGGAUGAAGGCCCUAUGGGUCGUAAACUGCUUUUACACAAGAGAAAACCCGAGUACGUGUACUCGGUUGAUAGUAUUGUGAGAAUAAGCAUCGGCUAACUUCGUGCCAGCAGCCGCGGUAAGACGAAGGAUGCAAGCGUUAUCCGGAUUCAUUGGGUUUAAAGGGUGCGUAGGCGGACCUGUAAGUCAGUGGUGAAAUCUCUUUGCUUAACAAAGAAACUGCCAUUGAUACUGCAAGUCUAGAGUAUAGAUGACGUUGGCGGAAUAUGACAUGUAGUGGUGAAAUACUUAGAUAUGUCAUAGAACACCGAUUGCGAAGGCAGCUAACGAAACUAUAACUGACGCUGAGGCACGAAAGUGCGGGGAUCAAACAGGAUUAGAUACCCUGGUAGUCCGCACCGUAAACGAUGAUUACUCGUUGUUGGCAAUAUGACCGUCAGCGACCAAGCGAAAGCGAUAAGAAUCCACCUGGGGAGUUAGCCGGNAACGGUGAACUUAGAAGUAGAGCGNGNGAGAGCGACGACGACGACGACGGAGGAGGAGG